rnacentral:rRNA from 1 species
AUUGAACGCUGGCGGCAUGCUUUACACAUGCAAGUCGAACGGUAACAGGCCGCAAGGUGCUGACGAGUGGCGAACGGGUGAGUAAUGCAUCGGAACGUGCCCAGUCGUGGGGAUAACUACUCGAAAGAGUAGCUAAUACCGCACACGAUCUAUGGAUGAAAGCGGGGGACCGUAAGGCCUCGCGCGAUUGGAGCGGCCGAUGUCAGAUUAGGUAGUUGGUGGGGUAAAGGCUCACCAAGCCAACGAUCUGUAGCUGGUCUGAGAGGACGACCAGCCACACUGGGACUGAGACACGGCCCAGACUCCUACGGGAGGCAGCAGUGGGGAAUUUUGGACAAUGGGCGCAAGCCUGAUCCAGCAAUGCCGCGUGCAGGAAGAAGGCCUUCGGGUUGUAAACUGCUUUUGUACGGAACGAAACGGCUCUGGUUAAUACCCGGGGCUAAUGACGGUACCGUAAGAAUAAGCACCGGCUAACUACGUG